UUUCCGUAGGUGAACCUGCGGAAGGAUCAUUGUCGUGACCCUAACCAAAAGAGACUGUGCUCAUGUCAUCAACCAUGCUAGAGGCGGCACUGCCCGCUGUUUGGCCAACUCCCCGACCAUAUCUUCCUAGGAGGCAUGGUUGGGCAACAGAACCCACGGCGCCGGAGGCGUCAAGGAACACUAUGCGUAACUCAGGGGUGCAUCUGGCUUGCUAGUAGCCCCUUGUGUUUGGAUGCUAUUUAAUCCACAUGACUCUCGGCAACGGAUAUCUCGGCUCUC
rnacentral:misc_RNA from 1 species